rnacentral:rRNA from 1 species
AGCAGCCGCGGUAAUUCCAGCUCCAAUAGCGUAUAUUAAAGUUGUUGCAGUUAAAAAGCUCGUAGUUGAAUUUCGGGAUCAGUACGCCGGUCGUGCCUUCGGUAUGCACUGGUGUCACUGGUUUCUCCCUUCUGAAGAACCAUCAUCCCAUUAAGUUGGUGUGGCGGGAAAUCAGGACUGUUACUUUGAAAAAAUUAGAGUGUUUAAAGCAGGCUCGCGCUUGAAUACAUUAGCAUGGAAUAAUGAAAUAGGACGUUUGACCCUAUUUUGUUGGUUUCUAGGAUCGACGUAAUGAUUAAUAGGGAUAGUUGGGGGCAUUAGUAUUCAAUUGUCAGAGGUGAAAUUCUUGGAUUUGCUGAAGACAAACUACUGCGAAAGCAUUCGCCAAGGAUGUUUUCAUUAAUCAGGAACGAAAGUUAGGGGAUCGAAGACGAUCAGAUACCGUCGUAGUCUUAACCAUAAACUAUGCUGACUAGGGAUCGGACGGUGUUAUUUUUUGGCCCG